rnacentral:lncRNA from 1 species
GGGCGAAAACAGGGGAAGAGAAAGGUUGCUGCACCUUCGUAUUCUCGUCACGAAGCUCGGCAUACGGUUUUUGACGACCUUUGAGCACCUGAGAGAGAGGACCCAGGCGGCGGCUCUACCUCUGCUUGCGGCGAGAUCCAACAGCGGCUCUAGGGCGGCUUUCGGGGGUGGAAAGAUGGAAAUAGGGGUCAAGGAAAGUGCCAGGGGUCUUAUAGGGGAAGUUGAUUACGUCCUAAACUCGAAAUCCCGGAGAAAUCGGGAUUCACUGCCCGGUCAGGAGUCCUGCAGCGCUCCGACUGGAGGUUGAAGAAGAGUAGGCGCCUGACGAGUGGGCCCGAGACGUCAGUGAAAGAAGGAAAAAGGGUGGGGGGAAACCGGGCCGGCCUGCUGGUUUGGCCCACGCUGAGGGGAGUGGGAAGGGCGCGGGGCAGGCCGUCUGCAGCUGCUUGCUGGGCCGAAGCCGCGAGUGGGGAGAGGGGAGGAGGGUCUUUGGGCCAGAAUGAGGGGGAAAGUUGUUUUCUUUUUUUGUUCUUUCUUUUAUUUAAGAGCCAUUUCAAACUCAUUUCAAAAUCCUUUUUAAAUCUGUUUGAAAUAUUUUGAAUUUUUUUUCAAACACACACACAUCAAUAAAUCAAAUGCAAAGGCAUGAAUUCUCAAACAUAUUGCUAAACUCCUAUGAUAAUUUUUAAUUUAAUAAAAAAAUAUUAUUUCUCUAUAUUUCAUGAACACCAAAAAUACAAAAUUAAAUCUUUUUCACCUAUUUCAAAAAGAACAAAUUUUUAGGGUG